CAGGGAACCCGGGCUUGAGGUGUUGGGAGGAGGAGCAGACCAGGGGAGGGACCUGCCGCUCGGUGAUCAAGAAGUUUGGACUUGGUCCCAAGGGCAACGUGGCGCCGCAGGAGAGUUUCAUGCCAGCCGAGACGCGCCCUGAUGAGGGAUCCUGACUUCUCUAGGGAGAAGGACAAGAGAGGCAAGUGUGGUUCCCGGCGGUCACCUGGACAGCCCCCUGUCCCUGGGAAUCAGGGGAGCGGACGUGCAGAGAUGGGCAGUUGACAGAUUGACACAGGGGUCGAGAGCCCGAGGACAAGCAGGGGGGGAGAAGAAGAAAUAGGCCGAAAGUGCUAGGACGGCCACGUCCCCGAGACAGUGCACGGACAGCCACGAGCGCAUGGAAGGGUCUCGGCAUCACCCGCCCCUGGGCAGCCCAGCGUGUCCCACCGCGAGACCCAGCGAACACCAUCAGGAAAGCUACUAGCAAGAAAAGCAGGUUUCACCCAGAGAGCUGAAGGCAGGGACCCAGACGCCUCCAGCGCGGGGCUCCCAGCACCACUACUCACAGUGGCCAAAAGGUGGCAGCACCCAGCACCCAUCCGCGGACGAUCCGGCCCUACCUCAAGUGUCGCUCAGUCAAGAAGGAAGGAGAUCCUGGCUCCUGCCGCACGUGGAUGAACUGCGCGAACAGAGCCAGUCGCGAAAGGAAAAGACCUUUGUGGGUCCACUAACAUGAGGCCCCUAGAGGAGUCAGACUCACAGGGACGGAAAGUCAGAUGCGGGCGCUGGGGCUGGGGCAACGGGCUGGGAGUGUUCAGAGGGACAGAGUUCCAGUUUGGGGAGAUGAAAAAGGUUCCGGAAGUUGGUGCUGGCGAAGGUUGCACAAUGAGGUAAGCAUGCUUCAUGCCCCUGAACUUUACCUUUAAACAUGGUGAAGAUGGCAAGUUUCAUAGUAUGCAGAUUAAACACAACAAAAAGGGGAAAAGGGAAAAGCAGAAGAUCCCUGCAACAUUCUGAAGCGGAGGCCUCAUCCUGCUGGAGAGCAGAAUCUGUUGUAGAAGCAACCGGAACAUUUUGCUAUGGGCAGUUCACUGGACACAUGGACCAGAGGUGUGUGUCGCCGUUUGUCACGUGACCGGGGGGCAUUUAAAAUCCACGAGAAAAGGGUAUUAUUUAUCUGUCUCCAAAAUGAAACCCUUAUGGUCCAGAAACGUAAGUGCAAAAAAGCGCAGCACGACAAAAGCAUUCUAAGAAAACACCGGAGACUUUGACAGUCUCGGGGUGAGGAAGGCUCUUCUCAGCAUGAUACAAAUGCAGAAGCCACUAAAAUACAGCUUAUAAAUCCAAUUAAAUUACAAAUUGCAACAUUUCUCAUAGAUACAACCUUUUAAGUCCAAGGACGCCUGACAAACGGGAAACUUUGUAACGCGGAUGCUCACGGAUGAGCUAGCAAAGCAGUCUCCAGCUCAGUGAGGUGAAGGCUGACCCCGCGUCCGAAGCCGUCGUGCUGCCGGACACGCAGGGAAACGGGAACCGCUGUUUGUUGGACGAGGCUGAACUUCACUCACGGUCAGAGAAACGCAAGUGCCUGCUCCCUGGAGGUAGCUGUUUCCCGCAGGGAGACCAGGACGUCUCAGCAGGGGUCAGGGGGGAGGGAUGGAGAGAGGCCCCCCCCAAGUGACAUCCCGAAGGGGAGUGAGCAGUUUGCGUGGCGACGCACCUCACAAAGGCAGGUGUCGGGCCAGCCCUGCCUCCCUGCUGGGAUGUGUGCGGUGGGGACAGAGCCGAGGGCAGCUGCGAUUUCCAUCACUGCCUUGCUUCUCCCAGCAAAGCGAGAGACGGGCUGCACGCGUGUCCACGCGAGGGCGCCCCUGAGUGAGGCUGGACCCCCUGCAGCCUUGGGCAAGCAGCAGCAUCCUGGGGAGCCCAGAACCAUCUCUUUGAUAUUCGAAGUGAAGCCACAGCCCCUCUGUCUGGUCCCAGUCUGGUGUCUGCACAUGGGAACUGGGGGUGGGGGCCCUGUUUCCACCACUUACCCUUAGCUUUGCUUGAAAUUUCUUAAACCAGAAAGCUCUAUUAAAGAUGACAAGGGGGCGCCUGGGGGGCUCAGGGGGUUAAGCCUCUGCCUUCAGCUCAGGUCAUGAUCUCAGGGUCCCGGGAUCGAGCCCCGCAUCGGGCUCGCUGCUCAGCGUGGAGUCUGCUUCCCCCUCUCUCUCUGCCUGCCUCUCUGCCUACUUGUGAUCUCUGUCAAAUAAAUAAAAUCCUUAAAAAAAAUAAAGAGGACGAGAUGUGCUGUGUUCCUGAAGGAAGAGAGACUCAGGAGAGCGGCGGGAGCAGCCUGCAGCACACUCAGAGUCAGGGGAGCUCCCAGCAGGGCCGGCGGGCUUGGGGCCAAGGACACAAGGCUACAAGGUCAGGCAGGGGCCUGAUGGGGUGGCUACAGCUUUAGGUGGAGUGUGCAGACCCCUCCUCCAGAGGUGGGACUGGAGCCAGGGGAAGAAUCAAAGAGAUGAAACCAGGCGGCCAGUCCCCAGCCCCAGGGCCUGGGGCCCUUUGAAGCCAUUAAGCUCCACAGCCUCCAGCUGAGGUCAGGGCUGGGACCAGCCUGUGCUCCUGGGCCUCGUAGGCUACCCUCGAGGAUUUGGGCCAGGGGUGUCCGUUUGAGCCUGUGCCUGCAGUGGCUGACCGUCAGACAGCCCAGCCGCCUUGUCGUCCACGUGGGAUCCUGGGGGUCCUGUGAUACUGCGACUGUCCUCUUGCCUUUGGGGCUUCACACCCAGCCACUAGCAUCAGGACAUCGAGAGCUUCCAGCCUAAGCACUGGGCAGCGCUGCACGCAGAAGGAGGCC